rnacentral:rRNA from 1 species
AUGGGGUGACUGCGUACCUUUUGUAUAAUGGGUCAGCGACUUAUAUUCUGUAGCAAGGUUAACCGUAUAGGGGAGCCGUAGGGAAACCGAGUCUUAACUGGGCGAAUGAGUUGCAGGGUAUAGACCCGAAACCCGGUGAUCUAUCCAUGGGCAGGUUGAAGGUUGGGUAACACUAACUGGAGGACCGAACCGACUAAUGUUGAAAAAUUAGCGGAUGACUUGUGGAUGGGGGUGAAAGGCCAAUCAAACCGGGAGAUAGCUGGUUCUCCCCGAAAGCUAUUUAGGUAGCGCCUCGUGAACUCAUCUUCGGGGGUAGAGCACUGUUUCGACUAGGGGGUCAUCCCGACUUACCAACUCGAUGCAAACUGCGAAUACCGAAGAAUGUUAUCACGGGAGACACACGGCGGGUGCUAACGUCCGUCGUGAAGAGGGAAACAACCCAGACCGCCAGCUAAGGUCCCAAAGUCAUGGUUAAGUGGGAAACGAAGUGGGAAGGCUCAGACAGCCAGGAUGUUGGCUUAGAAGCAGCCAUCAUUUAAAGAAAGCGUAAUAGCUCACUGGUCGAGUCGGCCCGCGCGGAAGAUGUAACGGGGCUAAACCAUGCACCGAAGCUGCGGCAGCGAACGUAUCACUUAAAUUUGUUUGAGUGAAUAACGAUUGACGGAACGAAGUGACGUCAAUGCGUUAAUGAAAGUCGAGGCGAAAGCACGACAAAGCGAAUUUAAGGAUACGUUCGUUGGGUAGGGGAGCGUUCUGUAAGCCUGCGAAGGUGUACUGUGAGGUAUGCUGGAGGUAUCAGAAGUGCGAAUGCUGACAUAAGUAACGAUAAUGCGGGUGAAAAACCCGCACGCCGGAAGACCAAGGGUUCCUGUCCAACGUUAAUCGGGGCAGGGUGAGUCGACCCCUAAGGCGAGGCUGAAAAGCGUAGUCGAUGGGAAACGGGUUAAUAUUCCCGUACUGGUGGUAACUGCGAUGGGGGAACGGAGAAGGCUAGGUUGUCCGGGCGACGGUCGUCCCGGUUCAAGCAGGUAGGCAGAGUGAUUAGGCAAAUCCGGUCACUUAAUGCUGAGAUGUGAUGACGAACCACCAAGGUGGUGAAGCAAUUGAUGCCCCGCUUCCAGGAAAAGCCUCUAAGCUUCAGGUUACCAACAAUCGUACCCCAAACCGACACAGGUGGUCAGGUAGAGAAUACUCAGGCGCUUGAGAGAACUCGGGUGAAGGAACUAGGCAAAAUGGUGCCGUAACUUCGGGAGAAGGCACGCUGGCGGUAGGUAAAGUCCCUCGCGGACGGCGCUGAAGCCAGUCGAAGAUACCAGCUGGCUGCAACUGUUUAUUAAAAACACAGCACUGUGCAAACACGAAAGUGGACGUAUACGGUGUGACGCCUGCCCGGUGCUGGAAGGUUAAUUGAUGGGGUUAGCGUAAGCGAAGCUCCUGAUCGAAGCCCCAGUAAACGGCGGCCGUAACUAUAACGGUCCUAAGGUAGCGAAAUUCCUUGUCGGGUAAGUUCCGACCUGCACGAAUGGCGUAAUGAUGGCCAGGCUGUCUCCACCCGAGACUCAGUGAAAUUGAACUCGCUGUGAAGAUGCAGUGUACCCGCGGCAAGACGGAAAGACCCCGUGAACCUUUACUAUAGCUUGACACUGAACAUUGAGCCUUGAUGUGUAGGAUAGGUGGGAGGCUUUGAAGUGUGGACGCCAGUCUGCAUGGAGCCAACCUUGAAAUACCACCCUUUAACGUUUGAUGUUCUAACCUAGGCCCAUAAACUGGGUCGGGGACCGUGUCUGGUGGGUAGUUUGACUGGGGCGGUCUCCUCCUAAAGAGUAACGGAGGAGCACGAAGGUUGGCUAAGCAUGGUCGGACAUCAUGCGGUUAGUGCAAAGGCAUAAGCCAGCUUGACUGCGAGAGUGACGGCUCGAGCAGGUACGAAAGUAGGUCUUAGUGAUCCGGUGGUUCUGAAUGGAAGGGCCAUCGCUCAACGGAUAAAAGGUACUCCGGGGAUAACAGGCUGAUACCGCCCAAGAGUUCAUAUCGACGGCGGUGUUUGGCACCUCGAUGUCGGCUCAUCACAUCCUGGGGCUGAAGUAGGUCCCAAGGGUAUGGCUGUUCGCCAUUUAAAGUGGUACGCGAGCUGGGUUUAGAACGUCGUGAGACAGUUCGGUCCCUAUCUGCCGUGGGCGUUGGAAGAUUGAGAGGGGUUGCUCCUAGUACGAGAGGACCGGAGUGAACGCACCACUGGUGUUCGGGUUGUCAUGCCAAUGGCAUUGCCCGGUAGCUAAGUGCGGAAGAGAUAACCGCUGAAAGCAUCUAAGCGGGAAACUUGCCUCGAGAUGAGUCUUCCCUGUCGCUUUAAGCGACCUAAAGGAACGUUUAAGACUAAGACGUUGAUAGGCUGGGUGUGUAAGCGUAGCGAUACGUUGAGCUAACCAGUACUAAUGAACCGUGAGGCUUAACCUG